AGUGAGCGCUGGCGGUAGGCCUAACACAUGCAAGUCGAACGGCAGCACAGUAAGAGCUUGCUCUUACGGGUGGCGAGUGGCGGACGGGUGAGGAAUACAUCGGACUCUACUUUUUCGUGGGGGAUAACGUAGGGAAACUUACGCUAAUACCGCAUACGACCUACGGGUGAAAGCAGGGGAUCUUCGGACCUUGCGCGAUUGAAUGAGCCGAUGUCGGAUUAGCUAGUUGGCGGGGUAAAGGCCCACCAAGUCGACGAUCCGUAGCUGGUCUGAGAGGAUGAUCAGCCACACUGGAGCUGAGACACGGUCCAGACUCCUACGGGAGGCAGCAGUGGGGAAUAUUGGACAAUGGGCGCAAGCCUGAUCCAGCCAUACCGCGUGGGUGAAGAAGGCCUUCGGGUUGUAAAGCCCUUUUGUUGGGAAAGAAAAGCAGCAGGUUAAUACCCCGCUGUUCUGACGGUACCCAAAGAAUAAGCACCGGCUAACUUCGUG
rnacentral:rRNA from 1 species